rnacentral:tRNA from 1 species
CGCUCGGUGGUGUAACGGAAGCACUUCGUUCUGAUACGGCGACAGCGGUGGUUCAACUCCACCCCGAGCGA